rnacentral:rRNA from 1 species
UGGGGAAUUUUGGACAAUGGGCGAAAGCCUGAUCCAGCAAUGCCGCGUGUGUGAAGAAGGCCUUCGGGUUGUAAAGCACUUUUGUCCGGAAAGAAAUCCUUGGCUCUAAUACAGUCGGGGGAUGACGGUACCGGAAGAAUAAGCACCGGCUAACUACGUGCCAGCAGCCGCGGUAAUACGUAGGGUGCAAGCGUUAAUCGGAAUUACUGGGCGUAAAGCGUGCGCAGGCGGUUUGCUAAGACCGAUGUGAAAUCCCCGGGCUCAACCUGGGAACUGCAUUGGCGACUGGCAGGCUAGAGUAUGGCAGAGGGGGGUAGAAUUCCACGUGUAGCAGUGAAAUGCGUAGAGAUGUGGAGGAAUACCGAUGGCGAAGGCAGCCCCCUGGGCCAAUACUGACGCUCAUGCACGAAAGCGUGGGGAGCAAACAGGAUUAGAUACCCUGGUAGUCCACGCCCUAAAACGAUGUCAACUAGUUGUUGGGGAUUCAUUUCCUUAGUAACGUAGCUAACGCGUGAAGUUGACCGCCUGGGGAGUACGGUCGCAAGAUUAAAACUCAAAUGAAUUGACGGGGUCAUAGCUGUUUCCU